rnacentral:tRNA from 1 species
AAAGAUUUAGGAUAGUAGACCAAAGGCCUUCAAAGCCUUAAGCAGAAGUUUUAAACUUCUAAUCUUUG